rnacentral:rRNA from 1 species
UACGAAGGGGGCUAGCGUUGCUCGGAAUCACUGGACGUAAAGGGCGCGUAGGCGGACUCUUAAGUCAGGGGUGAAAUCCCGGGGCUCAACCUCGGAACUGCCUUUGAUACUGGAGAUCUUGAGUCCGGAAGAGGUAAGUGGAACUGCGAGUGUAGAGGUGAAAUUCGUAGAUAUUCGCAAGAACACCAGUGGCGAAGGCGGCUUACUGGUCCGGAACUGACGCUGAGGUGCGAAAGCGUGGGGAGCAAACAGG